rnacentral:rRNA from 1 species
GACCAGACUCCUACGGGAGGCAGCAGUGGGGAAUAUUGGGCAAUGGGCGCAAGCCUGACCCAGCAACGCCGCGUGAAGGAAGAAGGCUUUCGGGUUGUAAACUUCUUUUGACAGGGAAGAGUAGAAGACGGUACCUGUCGAAUAAGCCACGGCUAACUACGUGCCAGCAGCCGCGGUAAUACGUAGGGGGCAAGCGUUAUCCGGAUUUACUGGGUGUAAAGGGCGUGUAGCCGGGCUGACAAGUCAGAUGUGAAAUCCCGUGGCUCAACCACGGAACUGCAUUUGAAACUGUCGGUCUUGAGUAUCGGAGAGGCAGGCGGAAUUCCUAGUGUAGCGGUGAAAUGCGUAGAUAUUAGGAGGAACGCCAGUGGCGAAGGCGGCCUGCUGGACGACAACUGACGGUGAGGCGCGAAAGCGUGGGGAGCAAACAGGAUUAGAUACCCUGGUAA